GGGAUUGCCCUAGUAACGGCGAGUGAAGCGGCAACAGCUCAAAUUUGAAAUCUGGCUCUCGGGCCCGAGUUGUAAUUUGUAGAGGAUACUUUUGAUGCGGUGCCUUCCGAGUUCCCUGGAACGGGACGCCAUAGAGGGUGAGAGCCCCGUCUGGUUGGAUGCCAAAUCUCUGUAAAGUUCCUUCGACGAGUCGAGUAGUUUGGGAAUGCUGCUCUAAAUGGGAGGUAUAUGUCUUCUAAAGCUAAAUACCGGCCAGAGACCGAUAGCGCACAAGUAGAGUGAUCGAAAGAUGAAAAGCACUUUGAAAAGAGAGUUAAAAAGUACGUGAAAUUGUUGAAAGGGAAGCGUUUAUGACCAGACUUGGGCUUGGUUAAUCAUCUGGGGUUCUCCCCAGUGCACUUUUCCAGUCCAGGCCAGCAUCAGUUUUCCCCGGGGGAUAAAGACUUCGGGAAUGUGGCUCUCUUCGGGGAGUGUUAUAGCCCGAUGUGUAAUACCCUGGGGGGGACUGAGGUUCGCGCAUCUGCAAGGAU
rnacentral:rRNA from 1 species